rnacentral:lncRNA from 1 species
GGAGGAAGGGCGAGAUCCGUAAAGCCAGAGUUGGAAAGGGACGGAGGGGCGGGGCCCCGGGAAACAGAAGGGGCCGGCCUAUCGGUGGGUAGGGCUGGGGAGGGAGGCUGAGCGAGUUCGGUACACACAGGUUACACGUGUUCGACUGAGUAAUAUAGGGGAGAAAAAAAAGAAGGAAAGAGAAUCCUUACAGGUGCCUGAAGCAGUCGAGACCAAAAAGGAGUGUAUGAGAGUUCCACUGGUACUGCUAUCAUAUCAUAUAGGGACAUUAGUCUUCUUCUGCACUUGGACUGAAACUUACACCAUCAGCUCUCCUGGUUCUCAGGCCUUCAGACUUGGACACAAACUAUACCACUGGCUAUCCUGGGCCUCCAGUUUGCAGACAGCAGAUUGUGGGACAUCUCAGCUUCCAUAAUUGCAUGAGCCAAUUAGUUAUUUAUUUAUAAUAAAUUAAUAUAUAAUCAAAU